UCCAAAUACAACCAAUUCAUUGGGCUGUCUGGAGAACGUUUUCUUUGCUUACUUUUAAGAAAUUUCUAAUUUGUUUCGUCUGUCAGACGGUGUCUGAGAGGGAGCUAGAUGCAAAUUCAUUACUAGAAACCAGUAACGUAUUCUUGGCGCUGGGAAAAAAAAGCCCAUGCAAUAGAUGAACAAUGGGUCUUCAGUUCAUCAGCAACAAAAGAAUUGGGGAAGUUGCUUGACUUUCAAAGCACGUCUUUCUCCACAGAGGGCUGGGCCAGACCUCGGCCAACCCCAAAAACUUACAGACACUCUCACACCAGUUCACUUUUCCUUUCGGUUAAGGAGGCACAAUACGUUAAAUGGAAGGUUGUUUUUUUCCUCGUCUAUGUGGAUGGAAUAUGUUCCACUCAAAGCAACUGAAGCACGUAUAAUGAGUUUGGAAAAAGCGGCAAUUUUAAAUGAGCGGGUGAUGAGAGAUGGUUUAGGAAAGAGAGUCUAUAAGGUUGAUCGCUGGAUGAGUUUUUUUCUUUUCGCUGUGUAAGGACUGUAAGGAAAAUUGCUGCACUUUUUUGACGAAACUUCUUUUCACAGUCAUGAAUAAUCAUAGUUUUGAAGAGAUGACCAUUGCUUACAAUCCACUGUAAAAGAAUUGCAAAAUUGGCCUGUUCAGAAUUAUUACUGGAAUUAGGUCAGCGUGAGGCCCCCUCUGCCAAUCCAAGGUCCAUCAGCAUCCAUAGUGCUGGCGAACAACACAGAUCUGAGUGGCUUCUACAGCAGAACCGCAUGUGCCUUAUUGGCCACAGGAGUUGCUGGUGACCGUGUAAACCGAGGAUAACCCUGCCGACCUGAACACUCCCCACCAGGGCGGCGCUCAACCAAUUGUGCGUCACCCCCUGGGAACUCCCGCCCAUGAUAACUUGGAUUCAAACCAGUGAUCUCCAAGCUAGGGUGCAUCCUGCACUCCAAGUGGAGCGCCUUUACUGGAUGUGCCACUCGGGAGCCCACCUUGUCACAUUAUUUAAAUCACUGCGCUGCCUCACAGAAUUUAAGCUAAGUAUAAGUAACCAUCUUGAUUACACUCACUUACAUAACUAUGAGUAGUAAGUAAUAAGUAGACAUGCCGACUUGGAUGAAGAUCAUUUAAAUUAACUGGAAGAUAGCAAAACACAAUAAAAUACCAAAAAAAAAAAAUAAUAAUAUAUGCUCACUCACCCCGACUUUGUCACUUCAAAUAAUGUAUUUUUAGUGGUUUGUAAACGCUAAAGAAAAUCCCCAAAAGACAUUUGUGCACAUUAUCCACCCCUCUCUGACACAGAUCUUGAACAAAGUACUGAAAUCCAAGAUGCUGAAUUUAUUAUUUCAGGUCUGUUAUCUAUUUUCAGGUCUGUUCUGCUCAGUGUGUCUGCACUGACAGGAAGAAAAAAAAGUGCUGUCUUGACUCCACCCCCUGGUGUAUUUUUUUUAAUGACAAUGUGCACACUAUCCAAAAAAAACGAUUUACUUUCUAUUACAUGUUUUAAUUGGAUUAAAGCACUCAUCCCAACUUAGCGUGUAGUUCAAAGGUAUACAUGGGACAACUUUAUUUGGCGUAAGGAUAUUUAAUAAAAAAAAAAGAAAAACAUGAAUAAUUUUUUGUCUUAAACAUGAUUUAUGCUUUUUUUUCUUCAAAUCCACUGUUUUACCUGGAUUAUAAAUGCAAUAAGGCUCUUUAGGGCAUCUGUAUGCAUUGAAUAUGCAGACUUCCCGGGGGCUGAAGGCACUCGAUUUCAUCUCUUGCUGCACAACGCUCCGAGGCGUUCGUAUAUUCGACGUAUACGGACGCCCAGCCAGGCAUCAUUGUGUACAUAUAAGAAAACUACACCAGGGGUGGAAGAAGAGUGUCACAAAAAUAUAGUAUAAUCUGCUAUUUGUUACACAGGGAUAUUAAGCUAUAUUUAACAUUUGAUAAGUAUAGUAUAGUCAUGGACCCUGCCACAAUCAAAUAAAAAGAGGUCACCAGUACCUAUAUUCAAAAUAUUCCAGUUUAUAGGAAACCAUGAUUUUUUUUUUUCUUUUAUAAUUUCUUAGCAAUUUUAUAUUCACCUGAAAUAUUGCUAUAUGGGUUGUGGUUCAAUUAAGAGUGCCAGGGAGUUAACAAAAAUGAGAAGAACUCCACUCUGGUUUGGAGCUGCCCAUCUUUUGCUAUCUGGAUGGCAUGAUGUAUUAAAAAUUCUAUUUCUUCUUAAAAAAAAUAUAUAAUCAAUUUCCUAAUGAAAUUGGGGGUAUUUAUGACACAAGAUUUACAUUUCAUAUGUGCUCCGUGUGGAAUAGCAGGGGAUGAAAAGGAUGUGUGCCUUAUGUUGUCACUACUUUUUUUUUUUUCUUUAUACUUUGUAUAUAUUUAUUUUACUAUUACUUUGUUGCUGUACAUGGCAUCCUUUUAACAGCAAGGAAUGAAAAAGUUCCCACAUGUGUUUAACUUUUUUUUGGGCUGGCUUGAGGAACGUUAACACAGGAAAACCCCCUUUAGUUCAAGUUGGCUUCCUCUCUGUUCCAUGUACAGUAAUGUGGAAAGAGAAUAACAUGGUGUCUGUAGCAUGAAAACAUGAAUAGUGAAUAGCUUGGUUAUCAGCAAGCUUUGGGGAGAUCCAUGUGGACGCACUACUGCAUCGAGUUCAUACUUCAAAAACAAACCAACACUAUAGAUUGUAAAAGGUGUCACAGAGUGGGGCUUGGCACUGUUAUUUAGUGCCCGAUGUUCCACAUAUUUAAGACUAUGUGCCUACUGUAUAUUUCUCUUAAAGUUUCAUUGAAAGAUGCUUUGUUAACUGCUUAUAGAAAUACCAGUCCUGCUUGUUAGCUAACAUGUCAGUACUGUGCGUGUGUAAAAUCUCAGUGAAAUUUAGCUACAAAUAAGUCUUCUGGUUUCUCAAAAGAUUUUAUAAACAGAGGUUUUAUAUAAUCCAAGCUAAUUUCUCCAAAAAUAAACAAACAAACAAAUAAAUAAAUAAAUAAAUAAAUACCUCUGCUUGUAUGUGGGUGGUGUGCUUUCCUAGCUUGCAGCAAUAGGGUCAUUACUUUUGUUUAGGAACAAAAAAAAAAUCUACAUUUUGUUAGGGUGUAUUCAUAUGUUUUGAUCUGUUGAAUUGACAAUAGAAAAGAAUGUUUUACACCCAAGAGCCCUAGAGCCUUUACAGUCUUGAUGGUGUCAAACAGUGCUUAUUAUUUAUUUAUUUAUUUUUUUUUUUGUAGGCCUAUAUCUAUAUUUUAACUUUAGUUUGCUGAACUUAUGUUUGUGAUUUUAAUCAUUAUUUUGUUUGUGCAAGUACAUAGAAAUAAAGAAUAUGAGGUUCUAUGUUGUUUGUAUGACACCUUUUGGAAUUUGGAAAAUGACAUAAAAUGGCAUAUAAAGUAGGCUCUAGCCAAUAUUAAGUAGGCUCUAGCCAGUAUUAAAAUAAUAUUAAGUUAUAGCUCCAAUGUGAAUGUAUUUUAUGGCUGUUCCAAUAAACUGUUCUUAUGAGCUUGAUGUUGAAAAACACAAAUAGGUAUAAUGCUGUAGGUGAGGCAUGUCUACAUUAAAAAAUAGCUACCAUUAUAAUGACCUGCAACUCAAAGUGCUAAUGUGCAGAACUAUUUACCAUAUCUGUGAAUAACCUUAAAGAGAGAAGCCCCUACUGUACUUAAAAAAAACAAAUUUAUCAAAUGCUUUUGAGCGCAGGAUAGGUAAAUAUUACAGGUCCCUUUUCUGUGAAGCUGGGGCUAACCUCUUACCCUAAUGAAAGGUUUUUCUAGAUGAUAAAAGAUUGUUAAUUAUUCAUGUGUUUAGACAGUACGACCACGGAAAAUGACGUUUAUCAACCAGCGUGGAAAACAAAUGCUGUAUAAACAUAUCAAAUCAGAUUCUACACAGUUCAAACAUUAAAUAUUAUUGAAAUGAUUUAAGUAUCUCAAGGGGCUUGGUUGAGUGACCUGCCCAGGGUCAGACAGCGUGUCAGUACCUGAACUAAGUUACUUGCAUACAUAAGUUUUUUCAAUUGGGAGGGAUUUUCUUCACCAAGAUGAGUCAACAAUGUUAAAAGUUGUUGUUUAGCGGAAUUUCAUUUUCUUCCAGGAAAGCAGGAGGUGUCACAAGGAGGUAGCAUAUCCAACAUGAUCAUCUGAAACUGUCUGAUGGUCCACAGUGCUUUAUGGGAAGGAUGAUCUAUUAAAGUGGUUCACUUCAUAUGAAAAGCAUCUCAAGAAACUUGUGUAGCCAAUUCUUUCUUUGGUCUGUAGACUAAAGCAACAAGCAUUUUAUAAACUAUGGAUUUUGGAUUAGAAAACUAUUUUGUAUGUUACAACUUUGUUCUGUUCGAACUAGUGCAAACCUAUUGGGUUUAUUUGGUAAUAAAGCAAAAUAUAUUCAAACAAAAUGUAAUAAAAUACUGACUAUUUAUGU